rnacentral:rRNA from 1 species
AGAGUUUGAUCCUGGCUCAGGAUGAACGCUAGCGGCAGGCUUAACACAUGCAAGUCGAGGGGCAGCGGGGUGUAGCAAUACACUGCCGGCGACCGGCGCACGGUUUCGUAACGCGUAUGCAACCUACCCAUAACAGGGGCAUAACACUGAGAAAUUGGUACUAAUUCCCCAUAACAUUCGAAGAGGCAUCUCUUUGGGUUGAAAACUCCGGUGGUUAUGGAUGGGCAUGCGUUGUAUUAGCUAGUUGGUGGGGUAACGG